CACCCCGCCGCCCCGCCGACGCCGACGCCGGUCCCCGCCGACUGCUUCCGCCCGACUUCGAUUCGCGAUUGGAUUGUCAAGGCCGCUCGCCGCCGCCGGAGGAGGUCGGGGAAAGGAAGCCACCAGCUAGCCGUCCACGCCAGGCGCGACGGGGUUCCCGCUCCGCUGCUUGGACCCGGAAGAGCACGUACGUACGAGAUCGACCGGCUCACAGAGCGCGGCCAGAGCAGCUUCUGUUCCCACCAACGCCGUACCCCGCGGCAGAAUAGUGCGCGACGCCUUCGCCCUGUGCUCGUGGCGACACCGGGCGAGCAGCCGAGCGCGCGCUCCUGGCCCGGCCCCGCGGCAAGGCAACACCGCGGUUGGUUUAUUCCUCGUGGUCUCUUGCCAUAAUGCUCCCUCCGCCUGGUCCACGUCCACUGGUUGCUGCUCAUCAUCCCGGUGCAUGACAGGUGAUGCUCCUGGGUGACUCCAGUCUGAGAAAGAGGGAAAUGCAGGUCACGCUAGCUUGCAACCAUUUUUGGGAUGGAUUCAUCGAUAGAAUGCCGAGAUUUGCUUAAGAUCACGGAAGCUUGGGUUGAUGGAGUGCUUGUAUUUAGUUUUU